UGCUGCAUCUUUUCUCUAACAUGUUAAUAGUUAUCCUUGGGAUGAGGUCUUAGAACGCAGAAAGGUCCACCUUGCAGUGUCUGCCCGAGGACCGCACCCCGCUGGGCACAAUGACAUCCUGGGAAUUUGUAGUGUAGGUGUUUGAGAUGUAGGCGUUACGGAGACUGCAGAGUUCUGUGUAGUCAUUCUGCCCCAGUGGACACUGGGGGCUUGGAGAGUUUAUAUGAAUUCCAACUGUUUCUACCCCAGGAAAGACAACUCUCUCUCUGCCUGGGCUGCCUGGACUCUGAGUGUGAGCAAGCCUCAUGUGGAGUCCUGUGUUCCCCUUCACUCUCUCUGGGGCAUCCCCACUCUGGCACACAGGAAGAUAUGAGGUGGGUCGGCAGCCACUCAUCUGUGUACUGACUGAAAGAGUGUGUAAUGAACUUCAUGCAUCAGGAAGGAAAAUGGGUUUGGGUUCACAGGCAUAAAAGAAUACUGAGAAUAACUUUAAAUCUAUCUUUAGCCCAAUGACCAAGAGUCCCAGGAGUCUGAAAGCCUUGAACUUCACCCAUAAGGAGCUGGGGAGCCCUGUUUGUGGUGGGGUAGUUGACUCCAACUAGAUGGUCAGGCCAGCUGCAGCUUCGGCUGGAGUUAAGGGUGAGAGGUUUCUGUGACAUGCUUCUCAGUCUGGGAGGCCUGGGAAGGCACCUGAGCUGGGAGAAGAGGCCACCAUGUCAUAUGUCCAAUGGGCAGGUAGGAGAGGCCAUUGGGAGAGGAGUUAGGUCCACGGACAACAACAUUCAGCCUAGUGGGGUUUCUAGGGCUCCCUCUCCCCUACCUCUACCAAGAGGCAAGGCCACCCAGCAUGGGAAGAUUCCUCAGCGCCAACCACAGGAGCCUUCCCUGUCAUGCGGUAUGCUGUUUCAGCGUGCGUGCAGUCCCAAAGACAGAAUUCUAUCAAACUCCCAGGAGGCCCUGGUGGGUUGUAAUCCAAGGGCCCCAUGUCGGGAGAGGGGGGCAUUUUUAGGUUGCCUUUUCUCCAACACCGUGUUUCAACACCACUUCUCGCCUUUCUGUGCUUUAUAUUUGUAAGCAUGGGCUACAACCCUGCUAUCACCAAUGUCCCCCUCCCCCUAUCCCCCCGUCCCCAGACUGAGUCCCUGGCACUUUAAGAUACCAUGACACUUCCUGAAAUCAAAAUCAUGGGGACCAGACAAAGAUGUCAUGGCUGGAGAGUCACACAUGUGACUCCAAAUACCAUCCCAGAGACCCGAGGCCAGAAGGCCUUACUGGUGUGGGUCAUCCACAUUGGAGAGCAGUAGGCACUUGAGUGGAGAACAGAUCCCACUCCUGUCUCAGGAGACCCAGUCUGUCUUGAGGAACUAGAUUUUCAGAAUAUAGUCCUGACUCUGAGGAAGGGUUAACUAAACUGGUAGGAUGACAGUUAACCCCUCCCCUGCCACGCAGAUGUUUGGCUGGGCUUUCCUGUGGAGUAGAAAGAUUUCAAAAAGUACUACAGAUUUUCCUUUCCUUCACCCAAGCCUACAGGCAGGGAAAGCCAAUUAAGAAAGAAGGGGGGGAUUCUAGGCCUUGGAGAAGGUCAUGUACCCCUGCAGGAUGCACUUGCCUUGGCCCGUGGUUGUUGUGAGAAGGAGCCUUGCCUUAGAGUCCUUCCCACUAAGUGUGACUGACCUAGGCCUGGAGCAAGUCACAAGGCAAACAGCUCACUGAUGGGUUCCCCAUGAGUCGAGUUGGUUUACUGUUGAAGACCAGGCUUGUCAGGGCAGGUGGAAACAUUAAGUCGGUAAAGGCAUGUUUGAAAGCUCCAGGGCCGGUGCUCCGAGAGGAGAGUUCAGCUGGGGUUAGAGAAAGUGGGACCCAGUGUCACUCACUGUCUAGAGAAAACGAAUACAGCAAAGCAUUUGGAAACUAGCUAAGCAGUGACACGGAAGUGGUCCCAGGAAGAAAUAGAUGCAGAGGAGAGAAAGAGAAGCAUUCAACCGCAACACCAAAAAGUAACAAGCUCAAACUUACAAGCUGAGGUGAAGAAUUGUGAAGCUAGUCCAAGAGGGUCGUGACAGGCUGACGUGUGUGUUGGAGAAAUUCAAGUGUGCCUGGAACCUCAAGUCUUUUGCUCACCGGAUAGUAAUUAAACUUCCCAAGGGCUGCUCUUGUAGUUGAGAGACUAACUGGGACAAAGGGAAAUAGGAAGCUGGUAGAAUCUGAACAGAAUCAGGACAGCAGGAGGGCAAACCAGGAAGAGCAAAUGUCAGGCAGCUAGUGGGUGUGGCUAGGCAGAGACUCCCUCAUGGUUGGGGGAUAGGGGACUAAAAUCAGGGCUCCUGAGUGUUUACUGGACAGAAGUGCCACACUUCUGUGUCCAAACCAGACAAGAUUCUUCCGUUAGCCCAAGCCUAGAAGAAGCAUUGCGAAGGUCAAGAAAGCCACCUCUGAUGUCUGAUGCUGGGUGCGGCCCUGAGUGUGCCACUUGGACGGCCACCAAGCCCGCUGCCCUGCCCCUGCUCAGAGGCUGUGUUGCUGCCUUCCAUUCAGGUGGCUGGCCGCAUACUGAGGCAAGGGCAGACUAGACAUACUCCAACAUCCAGCUGACACAGCUCUGAAGCAGUUACAGCAGCCACCACAGACUUGAGAGAGCUGGGGCUUUUAGAAAAUAGUUCACAACCCUGACUGUGCUGAUGUUGUUCUUUUGGAGCUGCGAAAACACCUGCCCAAAUACUACCGAGCCUGGCUCCCUUGACCGCACCAAGCAAUGUGUACCUAAAAUUGAAAGAUGUGACUAUCACGUUCAAUAAAGCCCCGUAUAAUGGACAGGGUGGGAGAGUCAGGACCCCUUUUGUCUCAUCAGAGAAAACUCACCAGCAGGUCAGCAGGUGCCUGCCCAUGGAGAGGACCGGGUUCCUGGUGCUGCUCAGCACAAGAACUUAUCGUGCUCAUACUGACUCCUCAAACACAAGACCAGCACUAUGGAAGAAGCUUAGCAAAAGAAACUCUGAAGGACAGCGCCUCCAAGUUUUUCCAUGAUGGAUCCGGCUUAAGAAAAGAUGCAGUUGCCUCCGGGAUUCCAAAGAUUGAGAAGAUUCUCCAGUGGUUUGCAAACCAGAAGCACCCUAACUUUGAGCCUGAACACAUUUGCAGAUGAUGGUGGCCCUAUGAGGGCUCAGGAGACUGUGGUGUCUUGAGCCUGAGAUGUGGAUGAGUGUAUCACCUGACUGGUAAAAUCCCAGUAGACCUCUAUCAAAGGUACCUGAGAAGGCUGCCCUUUGGGCAGUUAUUUAUAAAAGUGUGAAUAACGUGCCCAAGACUGCCUUCACCCUCAAGACCUCAGGAUUCAUGACAUGCACAGGAGAGGAAGCCAUGUCUGCCGUGUUUAUGCAGAAAGGAGGUGAAUAAGAACCUGUGUCGUUCAUCCUGUUUCCAGCUCUUUGCCUUCCCAGCAGGACAGGGUGAAGAGACUAUGAAAAAUAAAGAGAAAAUGAACCCAUUAUUCUAUUGAAGAGACCCAGCCCUUCUAUAUACCUUGAUGGAACGUCUGUUCAUCUUCUUGUUCUAUGU